rnacentral:sRNA from 1 species
AUGCUCAGUGGUAGCAGGCUCCAUUGGGAUUGGCUUUAUGGGGGGCAUAAGCAUGAUCUGGCAUUUCCCCCUAAACAUUUUCCUAGAAAAAAAAAAAUCAAGGCUGGAGAUUGGCCCGUAAUAAGCAGUAGAAGGGGAAACAAGAAAAUGCCCAGUGGGCAGGGGGAGGCCAAAUCGCAGAAAGCCUCGGGUUAUGUCCUAGGCAAGGUGUAUGAGGCAAUGAGAAACGUCCAUGGGCGGAGCGUCCUCGGCAUUAUGUGAACGGGGUCGGGAUCAGGACUGAAAAGGCACGCAGCACUGACAGCCUGGAUGGCCCAGGGGAGGGCUCGGUGCAGCCUCUACCCACCGCUGGGGGGCCCAGUGUGAAGGGGAAGCCUGGGAAGAGGUGAGGGUGAGGGAGGAAAGGGCUCAGCUAGGAGCUGGGGAGACUCAAGGAGCUGCUGGUGAUGCAUCCCUGUCUCCCAGGCUCUCAGCUCCUCGAGGCCCCUUCCCGCGGCUGGCUGACUGCGCCCAUUUCCACUACGAGAACGUCGACUUUGGCCACAUUCAGCUCCUGCUGUCUCCAGACCGUGAAGGGCCCAGCCUCUCUGGAGAGAAUGAGCUGGUGUUCGGGGUGCAGGUGACCUGUCAGGGCCGUUCCUGGCCGGUUCUCCGGAGUUACGAUGACUUUCGUUCCCUGGAUGCCCACCUCCACCGGUGCAUAUUUGACCGGAGGUU